GAGUUUGAUCCUGGCUCAGGAUGAACGCUGGCGGCGUGCUUAACACAUGCAAGUCGAACGAAGCACUUAAGACAGAUCUUUUCGGAGUGAAGACUUUUGUGACUGAGUGGCGGACGGGUGAGUAACGCGUGGGUAACCUGCCUCAUAGAGGGGGACAACAGUUGGAAACGACUGCUAAUACCGCAUAGUAAGAAGGAUUCGCAUGUUUUCUUCUUGAAAGCUUUUGCGCUAUGAGAUGGACCCGCGUCUGAUUAGCUAGUUGGUAAGGUAACGGCUUACCAAGGCGACGAUCAGUAGCCGGCUUGAGAGAGUGAACGGCCACAUUGGGACUGAGACACGGCCCAGACUCCUACGGGAGGCAGCAGUGGGGAAUAUUGCACAAUGGGGGAAACCCUGAUGCAGCGACGCCGCGUGAGUGAAGAAGUAUUUCGGUAUGUAAAGCUCUAUCAGCAGGGAAGAUAAUGACGGUACCUGACUAAGAAGCCCCGGCUAACUACGUGCCAGCAGCCGCGGUAAUAC
rnacentral:rRNA from 1 species